GCCAUGGUGGUCUAGCGGUCAGAACACUAGCCUUGUAAGCCUGGGGUCCCGGGUUCAAUUCCCGGUGGUG
rfam:Zootermopsis nevadensis contig16143, whole genome shotgun sequence.